UACGUAGGGUGCAAGCGUUAUCCGGAUUUAUUGGGCGUAAAGGGCUCGUAGGCGGUUCGUCGCGUCCGGUGUGAAAGUCCAUCGCUUAACGGUGGAUCCGCGCCGGGUACGGGCGGGCUUGAGUGCGGUAGGGGAGACUGGAAUUCCCGGUGUAACGGUGGAAUGUGUAGAUAUCGGGAAGAACACCAAUGGCGAAGGCAGGUCUCUGGGUCGUUACUGACGCUGAGGAGCGAAAGCGUGGGGAGCGAACAGG
rnacentral:rRNA from 1 species